rnacentral:Y_RNA from 1 species
GACAGGGCCAGAGGUGGUGAGUUGUCUUGAUUGUUCAAUGUCAGUGAGAGAUCAAACUCCUUGUUCUGCUCUUUCCCCUGUCUCACUACUGCAUUUGACUAGUCUUUA